rnacentral:rRNA from 1 species
UACGGGGGGGGCAAGCGUUGUUCGGAAUUACUGGGCGUAAAGGGUUCGUAGGUGGCCAACUAAGUCAGACGUGAAAUCCCUCAGCUUAACUGGGGAACUGCGUCUGAUACUGGUUGGCUUGAGUUUGGGAGAGGGAUGCGGAAUUCCAGGUGUAGCGGUGAAAUGCGUAGAUAUCUGGAGGAACACCGGUGGCGAAGGCGGCAUCCUGGACCAACACUGACGCUGAGUGAGCGAAAGCCAGGGGAGCAAACGGG